GCAUUAAUGGGGUAGUGGUAACCUGGGUCGUUGCCAUCCUGGUUUCCUCGUUUCUCGACCCGCCGGGGGUUCGAUUCCCCCUUAAUGCA